GCCGAGGCGGUGAGCCGGGCAGGAGGAAGGAGCCUCCCUCAGGGUUUCGGGAACCAGAUCUCUCACCAGGAAAGACUGAUACAGAACGAUCGAUACAGAAACCACGCUGCCGCCACCACACCAUCACCAUCGACAGAACAGUCCUUAAUCCAGAAACCUGAAAUGAAGGAAGAGGAGACUCUGCGCAGAGCACUUUGGGUCCGGAGGGCGAGACUCCGGCGGAAGCAUUCCCGGGCGGGUGACCCAGCACGGUCCCUCUUGGAAUUGGAUUCGCCAUUUUAUUUUUCUUGCUGCUAAAUCACCGAGCCCGGAAGAUUAGAGAGUUUUAUUUCUGGGAUUCCUGUAGACACACCCACCCACAUACAUACAUUUAUAUAUAUAUAUAUUAUAUAUAUAUAAAAAUAAAUAUCUCUAUUUUAUAUAUAUAAAAUAUAUAUAUUCUUUUUUUAAAUUAACAGUGCUAAUGUUAUUGGUGUCUUCACUGGAUGUAUUUGACUGCUGUGGACUUGAGUUGGGAGGGGAAUGUUCCCACUCAGAUCCUGACAGGGAAGAGGAGGAGAUGAGAGACUCUGGCAUGAUCUUUUUUUUGUCCCACUUGCACACAUUCCUUUGAAAUAAGGUUUCAAUAUACAUCUACAUACUAUAUAUAUAUUUGGCAACUUGUAUUUGUGUGUAUAUAUAUAUAUAUAUGUUUAUGUAUAUAUGUGAUUCUGAUAAAAUAGACAUUGCUAUUCUGUUUUUUAUAUGUAAAAACAAAACAAGAAAAAAUAGAGAAUUCUACAUACUAAAUCUCUCUCCUUUUUUAAUUUUAAUAUUUGUUAUCAUUUAUUUAUUGGUGCUACUGUUUAUCCGUAAUAAUUGUGGGGAAAAGAUAUUAACAUCACGUCUUUGUCUCUAGUGCAGUUUUUCGAGAUAUUCCGUAGUACAUAUUUAUUUUUAAACAACGACAAAGAAAUACAGAUAUAUCUUAAAAAAAAAAAAGCAUUUUGUAUUAAAGAAUUUAAUUCU
rnacentral:lncRNA from 1 species